rnacentral:rRNA from 1 species
UUCAACGAUCAUACUAUGAUGAAAACACUGGUUCUCGUCCGAUCACCGAAGUAACGCAACAUCGGGCAUUCUUUAAC